AUUGAACGCUGGCGGCAUGCCUUACACAUGCAAGUCGAACGGUAACAGGCCUUCGGAUGCUGACGAGUGGCGAACGGGUGAGUAAUACAUCGGAACGUGCCUAGUAGUGGGGGAUAACUACUCGAAAGAGUGGCUAAUACCGCAUGAGAUCUACGGAUGAAAGCAGGGGAUCGCAAGACCUUGUGCUACUAGAGCGGCCGAUGGCAGAUUAGGUAGUUGGUGGGAUAAAAGCUUACCAAGCCGACGAUCUGUAGCUGGUCUGAGAGGAAGAUCAGCCACACUGGGACUGAGAAACGGCCCAGACUCCUACGGGAGGCAGCAGUGGGGAAUUUUGGACAAUGGGCGCAAGCCUGAUCCAGCAAUGCCGCGCGCAGGAUGAAGGCCUUCGGGUUGUGAACUGCUUUUGUACGGAACGAAAAGCCCCGGGUUAAUACCCUGGGGUCAUGACGGUACCGUAAGAAUAAGCACCGGCUAACUACGUGCCAGCCGCCGCAGUAA
rnacentral:rRNA from 1 species